rnacentral:rRNA from 1 species
GUGGGGAAUCUUGCGCAAUGGGCGAAAGCCUGACGCAGCCAUGCCGCGUGAAUGAUGAAGGUCUUAGGAUUGUAAAAUUCUUUCACCGGGGACGAUAAUGGCGGUACCCGGAGAAGAAGCCCCGGCUAACUUCGUGCCAGCAGCCGCGGUAAUACGAAGGGGGCUAGCGUUGCUCGGAAUUACUGGGCGUAGAGGGCGCGUAGGCGGACAGCUUAGUCAGAGGUGAAAGCCCAGGGCUCAACCUUGGAAUUGCCUUUGAUACUGGCUGUCUUGAGUUUGGGAGAGGUGAGUGGAACUCCGAGUGUAGAGGUGAAAUUCGUAGAUAUUCGGAAGAACACCAGUGGCGAAGGCGACUCACUGGCCCAAUACUGACGCUGAGGCGCGAAAGCGUGGGGAGCAAACAGGAUUAGAAACCCGGGUAGUCC